UUGGACUCUUGGUUGAGAUAAUGUAUUAGGUUUUACCAACUCGUUAUAGCAGCCAUGGAGAGAAGAGGUGUAAAGAGGCUCGGCCUAACAAUAUCUUCACAAAGUUUGACCUCAAAUCAGGUAGGACUACCCGCUGAACUUAAGCAUAUCAAUAAGCGGAGGAAAAGAAACCAACAGGGAUUGCCUCAGUAACGGCGAGUGAAGCGGCAAAAGCUCAAAUUUGAAAUCUAGUACCUUCGGUGCUCGAGUUGUAAUUUGAAGAUUGUACUCUGGAGUUGGCCCUUGUCUAUGUUCCUUGGAACAGGACGUCAUAGAGGGUGAGAAUCCCGUCUGAUGGGGUGUCCAAUUCCAUGUAGAGUGCUAUCGAAGAGUCGAGUUGUUUGGGAAUGCAGCUCUAAGUGGGUGGUAAAUUCCAUCUAAAGCUAAAUAUUGGCGAGAGACCGAUAGCGAACAAGUACAGUGAUGGAAAGAUGAAAAGAACUUUGAAAAGAGAGUGAAAAAGUACGUGAAAUUGUUGAAAGGGAAGGUUAUUAGAUCAGACUUGGUGUUUUACGAUUAUCUUCCCUUCUUGGGUUGUGCACUCGUAUUUCACUGGGCCAGCAUCGAUUCGGAUGGCAAGAUAAUGACAGUUGAACGUGGCUCCUCGGAGUGUUAUAGCUUCUGUUGAUGUUGCCUAUCUGGAUCGAGGACUGCGUCUU
rnacentral:rRNA from 1 species